AACGAACGCUGGCGGCAGGCUUAACACAUGCAAGUCGAGCGCCCCGCAAGGGGAGCGGCAGACGGGUGAGUAACGCGUGGGAAUCUACCCAUCUCUACGGAAUAACGCAUGGAAACGUGUGCUAAUACCGUAUACGUCCUUCGGGAGAAAGAUUUAUCGGAGAUGGAUGAGCCCGCGUUGGAUUAGCUAGUUGGUGGGGUAAAGGCCUACCAAGGCGACGAUCCAUAGCUGGUCUGAGAGGAUGAUCAGCCACACUGGGACUGAGACGCGGCCCAGACUCCUACGGGAGGCAGCAGUGGGGAAUAUUGGACAAUGGGCGCAAGCCUGAUCCAGCCAUGCCGCGUGAGUGAUGAAGGCCCUAGGGUUGUAAAGCUCUUUCACCGGUGAAGAUAAUGACGGUAACCGGAGAAGAAGCCCCGGCUAACUUCGCGCCAGCCGCCGCUGUAACAC
rnacentral:rRNA from 1 species